GGUUCUAUGGUGUAGCGGUUAGCAUAGCGGAUUCUGAUUCCGUUGACCCCGGUUCGAUUCCGGGUAGGACCU
rnacentral:tRNA from 14 species